rnacentral:lncRNA from 1 species
UAAAGGGUUUUUAUAAAUUUAAUGCUGAACUUCAUCUCCCAAGCGGACAUUUGACACUGUAGAAUGAUGUAUUGUUUCAACGCAGGUUAAAUAAUGUAGCAAUGUUGUACAUGGUUGAGUGUCUUCUGACCUCCGUUACAGAGCUUAGUGGACAGGAGGGUAAACAUGAGAGGUAGAAUGUCUGUUACACAAGGAAAGCCACCAAAGGGGGAGGCAGAGGUUGUCCAUAACCACUGACACAGGGUCAGAUACGUUUUCGUUUCCCAAAUGGUUAUUGUUAGGGAUAGAUGAUUCUAGAUCUGUGGUUAGGGGUAACCUCUACUUCAGAGGUAGCCAACCCUCUUCCCAGACAGCUACUGGUUAUGCAAGCUUUUGCUCUAUUCCUGCUCUUACACACACCUCAUUCUACUCAUCGGCUGAUCAUCAGAACCUUGAUUAGCUAAAUCAGGUAUGGUAGAGCUGGGCUGGAUCAAAAGCCUGCAUACCCAGUAGCUCUUUAGGCAGGAUGGCCAUCCCUGAUCUAAAUCCAUCAGUCACAAACACUCCUGCAAGGUCAUAGUCAUAACAUCCAGAGUUUGCACAAGGCUAGCUAAUAUUACUAACACAAAUAAGUUCUGCCAAAUGAAAUAAACUAUGAAAAAAGAAGCCUUGUUUGAAGAGAAAUUAGGGAAUUUCAAGGAAAACAAGUUUAAGAAGAGUAUGUUCUCUAUGAGCUUUAUAUGGAAUCCAUUAUGACAAAAGGUGCAGACGUCAAUCAUUCAGAAGGUAUAAACUCCACACAGCCUCACGUUCUUGUACUGUCUGUAAUAGUCAUAUCAAUACAUGAUACAGUGCAAUACCUGUAGACACAUUUGCAAAGGGCAUUUUCCACUCAUCCUUAUUCCCCCAGUGUAGGUCCAAGCAGUGAAGGGCUGAAUCCUAACCUCAGUUAUGUGUCCAUCACGCAAACCUUCACACAAAUCUCCCAUUGAUAUCAAUGGAUGACUUAUGUGGCUAGUUCUAGUAAUGCGUAUCAUAUAUUAUAUUAAGUUAAUUCAAGCCCAAGUCUUACUGUAGGACCAUUGACCAUAUCUGCCAUCAAAUGAUUGGAUAAGUUACUGUUCCAUUAAAGUUCUCCUGACCAAAUCAACUCUAAAUUUCACCACAAAUUAUCAACAGCAACACACUGAAAUACCACAAUGUCCAUCUUUCUCUGCAGGUCUGUGGGACAUUAAUGACAAAUACCUUUGGGAGUAAGUUCAUGUUACCCAACUCCACACCAAACUCUAACCCCUAGUCCUACACACCGACCACUUAGCAAUAUGGUGCUGCUCCACCUAGGUGUGAUUUUCACUAUGUUGCUUGUACCAACAAGUGUCCAGGGGUAGGGGUUUGGAAUUGGGCAUGUGAGUGAGAGGGUUCAUACAGGUGUUUACGUGAGUCUCUCUAAGUCUGUGUCCUAAUUCUCUCCCCACAUUCCUUUCCUAAUCUAAUUUCCUUCAUGAUCAUUGAUCCAAAAGGACCUAAAAAGGUAACAGCGUAAGCAAUACAGUGGAUUCCUUUCACCCAUGUAUGGACAUGAAGGAUAGGAGACAAGGUAAGGAAUCAAGGCAGUGGAAUUGGAACACAGUGUAAACAUCUUCCAUAAGAGCCAGUGGGGAAGGGGCAGAGGAGACACUCCACAGAGAGCAUAGGUAACAAAGCACCUCGUUACAGACCUUCUGCCUGUAAAUUAAUUUUCUAAACAAUCCUUAAACCAAGUAAAAAAAUAAACUGUUGGGAUGGAAAGAAGUGUCCCAGGUCCCAUAGUACUCCCUUGAAGUAAUAACAUAUCUGAGAAGGUUGGAUUGGUCAAAGCAGAAGGGUGGAUAUCUUGCUUUCGAUUAUCCACUCACAUACAGAUCGGUGAUAGGGAAGAGAGGAAGAUGCACUAUGAUGAAACAAUGUAAUUUGGUUGGUGAGUUGUGAGAGAGGUUCAUAAAAAGGUAAUCCCCUAACUUAAGGUUUUCCUCAAUGCUAAGGCAACACCAAACGCACACUCUCACACACUGAAGCAUAAAGCAUAUACAGUAGAGUACACAUAUGUUUAUAUGGUAAACCUUCCAAAUACCUUCUCGUUCACAUGGUUGUAUUAACUCUAUAUGUAAGCAGGAUAUGUACUAGGCAUUUCAGCAUGAAAUAGGGGCCAUCUUUCAAGAUCUUUGAGAAUCACAUUCAAAAAUAAAAUGUAACACUAGUGCAAUCCUUUAAGAGUUCGCAAAUCCUGCAUUUUCAUGCAGUUUCACUCAAAUUCAUUAUUUGAGAUUUCUCUGUAGAUAUUUCGUUAGUUUUGUUGAAACAGUGGGUAUGGAUGAUAUCCAAUAGCAGUCAAGUAUUAUAUUUAUUUUAAAUGUGUAAAUAAACGGUAGUACUAUCAUAGCAUUAACACAAUAUAUACACUGUAUAUUCCAAUAGAAAAGCUAAAUGUCCACAGAUUGCGGUUGUGUUUAUAAUCAAGUUUUAAACUGGGUGGUUGAGCCUUGAAUGCUGAUUGGCUGAAAGCCGUGGUAUAUCACACCGUAUACCACGGGUAUGACAAAAUAUUUAUUUUUACUGCUCCAAAUACAUUGGUAACCAGUUUAUAAUAGCAAUAACGUUCCUUGGGGGUUUGUGAUAUAUGGCCAAUAUACCACGGCAAAGGGCUGUGCGUUGCGUCAUGCCUAAGAACAGCCCUUAGCCGUGGUAUAUUGGCCAUAUACACCACACCUCCUCGGGCCUUAUUGCUUAAUUAGGCGCUACUACAGCCUCUCCUGUGUUAAUGAGUGAACUCUCUCGCUCUCUUACAAUCAAAAAUAAUCAGUGUUCAUGUACUAUUUACAGCUGCAAUCAACUACACAAUGCCACUUCAUUCAGUCAUAGGGUGACACUUCACAAUAAAUUGCAUAGAUACCACGUGUUACAUUUUCUGGUGUAAUUAAAUGCAACUACACUGUAACUACCUGGACAUAAUUUGUAAAAUGUCCUUACUUUAGACAUUAGUGUUUUGUACCUUAUCUGCAAUUACCAUUUACAUCUGAACAAUUAGUCUGGUUUCCAGGGUAGUUAGAGAGUAACUUCAUGGCAUAAAGGCAAGUUAAAGUGAAGUGUUGCCCAGUCUUAAGAUUGAAAUAUUCAACAAACAAAAAAUUAAAUAUUAGGAGGGCAAAAGUUCAUAGAACUCUUUAGUUUUGAGAGAGCUUGAGGGAGUGGCAAACCAACUGGACAGAGCAGUUGUACCUUUUCUACCAUACAAUGAACAUUGUACAGGGUAUUUACAAAUAUACAAGAGGAAGAGUUGGUGGUGGUGGUUUUUGUUAGUCUGAUCUGGAGGUGAUUCAGCCAACUCGAACAUACAAAACACACCUUUUCAAAGCAGCGGGUGGCCGUCCUAUCACCUCUGACCAAAAUGUCGGCCGUCAUUUUCUGUUCACUUCACAACAACUCUACAUGUUGAAUCACCACCGUUUGUCGACACCAAGGUGGUGACCCCUAAAGGCGUCAGCAUGCUUAAGCUCGGCUGGCGCCUAACCGAACGAGUGUGCUUGCAUACUCCCUUAAAAUACACUUGCUUGAAAAACAAGAAAAAAAGCAUCAAACGCCGUAGCCAGUCUCAAAAUGACUGUACACUUCCUCAAAAGUCCGAAUUAAUCUAAGAUAACUCAAGAAACCUGUCAUUAAUUUUGACGUUUUUGCCCAAGAGAUCUUAGUUGCGAAAUUUUACAUCUAACUAAGAUGUUUGGCGCAGUAUUUCUUUAUGAGAAAAAUGUCAUGAAGACGAGUCGUCUCUAGCUGAAUGACAACAAAGACUUUAUCGGAGAAUUCCUACUGUUGAACAAUCACCGAUGAAGGGGUGUAGACUUCGGCUCCGAACUUCGGCUUGACCAAAACGAACAAAAGCGUCACAAAACGUCAGCAUAAUUUUUGCACAUACUCUACCGAACUGUUUAGUCUGGGAAGCAUGUGGACGCCUUUAACACACCGCGGCCACCCACUGCUUUCGCCUUUGAGGUGUAUCUAGUCAAGAGGAAUCAGCUUCAGCGCCUAAUGAAUGAGUCUAAAAACAACCUGAAGUGAAACAGACUAAAGUUACACCAGACCAACCAACCAGCCUGUGUCUACUCUUCAAGGACAUAAAAAUAAUAAUAAUAUUUGUUACAUCACUGGGUUACUGUGAUCCCAAAACAAAACAAUUAUCCCAAUCCAGGGGCUUUUCAGAGUUUUCGUUACAUUACAUUGUCCUGCUGAGUUUGAGUGUGAAACCCAAUGGAUGGAGUGCAUGAACUUGAAACCAAAUAGAUGCAGGUGAGAAGAACCAGAGACUGAACAGACAAGAGGUGUGUGUCCCGUUUGAAACGCCUGCCAGCGGCCUCAAUCCAGGUGUAGCCAGUGAGGAGAGGGCUCUGAUCCAUGGACAAAAUUAAAGAGAGCAACAGUGUCAUCUUAGCCAAACGUCGUCUGGUCUGAUGGCAUUAACAUCUCAUGUGAUGAUCUUAUGACCCCUCUCUCCAUCAGACACCAAGCCCAUUGGCUAUACAGGGAUCUUAGACUCAGGAGGAGGCGGCGUUAAGGAGGGUAGAUGGGUGGUUGGGUUGACUGAUCCCUUAGGUUGUCGAUUAGCUUGAUUGUCUAGCCCCCCCACCCACGAGGACACGGGGUUGUGGUGUGGUCAAGCUGCAGUCCUGCUCACUGUUAGCUCCUCCUCACACUCCGUUGGCGCUCAUCUUGCUCUUCUGGGACACCUCUGCUCCUUUAGCCUACAGG